rnacentral:rRNA from 1 species
UACGAAGGGGGCUAGCGUUGUUCGGAAUUACUGGGCGUAAAGCGCGUGUAGGCGGGCCGUUAAGUCGGGGGUGAAAGCCCAGAGCUCAACUCUGGAAUUGCCUUCGAUACUGGCGGCCUGGAGCAUGAUAGAGGCGAGUGGAAUUGCGAGUGUAGAGGUGAAAUUCGUAGAUAUUCGCAGGAACACCAGUGGCGAAGGCGACUCGCUGGAUCAUUGCUGACGCUGAGCCGCGAAAGCGUGGGGAGCAACCAGG